rnacentral:rRNA from 1 species
UACGUAGGUGGCAAGCGUUGUCCGGAAUUAUUGGGCGUAAAGCGCGCGCAGGCGGUUAUGUAAGUCUGAUGUUAAAGCCCGGGGCUCAACCUCGGUUCGCAUUGGAAACUGCGUAACUUGAGUGCAGAAGAGGAAAGUGGUAGUCCACGUGUAGCGGUGAAAUGCGUAGAUAUGUGGAGGAACGCCAGUGGCGAAGGCGACUUUCUGGUCUGUAACUGACGCUGAGGCGCGAAAGCGUGGGGAGCAAACAGG